GUUUGUAGCUCAGUCGGUUAGAGCACCGCUCUGAUAAGGCGGGGGUCGGUAGUUCGAGUCUACCCAGACCCACUUUG
rnacentral:tRNA from 1 species